GCAUGGAUUCUUUAUUAUAUGGGUACUACUUGCUACUUAGAACCAAUAAGCCAUUUAUAGGAGUGAAUUUUGAGUAGUCUUUUUUUUUUUUUUUUUUGGUGGGCAGGGGAGAGGAUCUAAUAUAGUCAAGACUAGCUUCAAACUUACUUCAUAGUUGAGGAUGACCUUAUAUUUCUGAUCCUCCUGUUUCUGAGUGUCGGGAUUACAGGCAUGUACCACAAAACCUGUUUUAUGUAUUGCUGGGGAUUGAACCCAGGACUUUUUGCAUGAUAAGCAAGCACUUUGCCAUUUGAACUAAAUCCUUAGCCCCUUUGUUUUUUUUUUUUUUUUUUGUUUGCUCUUUGGGGAGAUUUACUAUGCUGUUCAGGUUGGUUUUGAACUCAUGAUCCUCCUGCCUUAGACUUCCAAGUACUGGGAUUAUCACAGUGCACCAACAUACCCAGCUGUAAUGCUGUUCUUUUUUGAGGAAAAUAAGUUACUGACUGAGCAGCAAGGUUUUAUAACACUGUUGUUCUUAAAACACUGGGCAGAACCUUACAAAAUGUUUUGUUGUUGUUGUUUGUUUGUUUUUAAACAAAUGAUAAGACAACAUUAGAAGCAGCCAGAGUAAAGGUAGAUGAAGAAUUUAAAUCAUAAAAGUAAGACUUCACUAGAGAAAAUAGAAGAGCUGAUGAAAAUAAGCUCCAGUGUCAAACUAUUGCUCAGAACAUCUGUUAAAGAAGUGUUCACACUGCCCACACGGCACCGGAGCUGGUCUCCAGGAGAGAGUCUUAUAGAAUGUGCCGUACUGUGAUGUGUCAAUCAGAAGCACUGAAGCUUCCUGAGUGAAGCCUGGCUUUGCACCUUUUGCCUUUAGAUAUAUAACUCGCAAAGGUCUUAGAAAUGCCGAUGUUUUUCUGUGAACUGAUAUGUUGAAAAUGAGCCACGGGCUAAGAGCUGCACAGCACCACACAGUAUUAUGCUGACUGUUCUCACCGACAACCUCUAGAUCAUGACUGAGUAAUUGGGAAGAUGGGACAUUCUCCCCUCUUUUCCUUUGAUAGGUAGAACAAAAGCUAUUUGCCAAUGAAGCACUUCACCAAAUUGGUGACUUUUCAGUAAUCCACUGCUAAGUAUACAGUGCUACAUCGACUUGCUGUUUAGUCUCCAAAAUAUUAAAAAAUUUAGUGUGUAAUCCUAGCAGUGGGAAGUGGGUUGGAUAAGGCUGCCCCCAGCUAUAUAAUAUGUUUGAGGCUAGCCUAGCUAUUUGAGACUUUGUC
rnacentral:lncRNA from 1 species